rnacentral:rRNA from 1 species
UACGUAGGGACCAAGCGUUGUUCGGAUUUACUGGGCGUAAAGGGCGCGUAGGCGGCAAUUCAAGUCAGUUGUGAAAUCUCCGAGCUUAACUCGGAACGGUCAACUGAUACUGUUUUGCUAGAGUACAGAAGGGGCAAUCGGAAUUCUCGGUGUAGCGGUGAAAUGCGUAGAUAUCGAGAGGAACACCUGAGGUGAAGACGGGUUGCUGGGCUGACACUGACGCUGAUGCGCGAAAGCCAGGGUAGCAAACGGG